rfam:Candidatus Melainabacteria bacterium RIFCSPLOWO2_12_FTLL_35_11 rifcsplowo2_12_scaffold_609, whole genome shotgun sequence.
GGGCGGCUGCCCGAGUGGCCAAAGGGGGCAGACUGUAAAUCUGCUGGCGCAAGCCUUCGCUGGUUCGACCCCAGCGCCGCCCA